CCCUAUUAUUUAUAAAAUAUAAGUGAUUAGUAUGGAAAAGAGAAAAUUAAUAAUUUUGGCGGUUGAUUAAUUUUUAGAGGAGCUUGUAAUUGAAUAGAGUUGGCUCAAUAUAUUUUACUAAUCUUAUACUUAUUCAUUUCCGUUAUUAAGUUAUUAUUAAAAAAGAAAACAAGGGUUCUUAUAUCUCAGGUCAAGAUGUAGUUUUUAUUAGAAAGUUAUUAGCUACAUUUAUAAAUUUAUUGGAAUUUAGUUUAAGAAAUAGGAAGAAAUUGAAUUUAGUUGUAAUAUUAAUUAGAAAAUUAAUAUGAAAUUUAUAUUAAUUAAUGUA
rnacentral:rRNA from 1 species